rnacentral:lncRNA from 1 species
GCUGUGUGUCUUUGUCUUCCUGUUAGUUGUUGUUUGUGCUUCCUGCCAAUCUAAUAGGAUAGGAUGUGUCCAACUUAAUUUUCACAGUUUGUUCCUAUUUUGUGCUGUUACACUAUUAUCCCAGGUAUCCCACAAACAUGUAAAAUCCUAUUGCAUUCUAUAUGUGCCUGUCCCAAAUCAGGAGCCUGUAGUUCAGAGGUUGUCGUUUGUUGCUGUCUGUCAUAUGUUAUUUUUUUUUAUUGUUUGUAUUUUAUCAGGCUUUUGGUUUAACAAAUCGUCAUGUGAGUGGCCUUUUAUAGCUGUCUUAUAUGAUGUCGGUUUUGUAACUUUGCUCAUUGAAGUCCAAUAAUUGCUUAAUUCCACAUCAUUUUAGAGACUCUGUUGGAUAGUUUUCUCAUUGGC